AUUGAACGCUGGCGGAAUGCUUUACACAUGCAAGUCGAACGGUAGAGGGGCAACCCUUGAGAGUGGCGAACGGGUGAGUAAUGUAUCGGAACAUGCCCAGUCGUGGGGGAUAACGUAGCGAAAGUUACGCUAAUACCGCAUACGAUCUAUGGAUGAAAGCGGGGGAUCGCAAGACCUCGCGCGAUUGGAGUGGCCGAUAUCAGAUUAGGUAGUUGGGGGGGUAAAGGCCUACCAAGCCGACGAUCUGUAGCUGGUCUGAGAGGACGACCAGCCACACUGGGACUGAGACACGGCCCAGACUCCUACGGGAGGCAGCAGUGGGGAAUUUUGGACAAUGGGCGCAAGCCUGAUCCAGCCAUUCCGCGUGCAGGAAGAAGGCCUUCGGGUUGUAAACUGCUUUUGUACGGAACGAAACGCGCUGAGCUAAUACCUCGGCGUAAUGACGGUACCGUAAGAAUAAGCACCGGCUAACUACGUGCCAGCCGCCGCCGUAAGAC
rnacentral:rRNA from 1 species